GCACUCUGUCCCUGCAGCCUUCCCCAAGGGGGUUUGCAGCGCCGUGGCCAGCAAGUUUCCCCUGGCUUGUCCAAGGAGGGAUCCUUCUGCAGCUCUGUCUGGAAUUCAGCUGCUGGGGAAGGGAGUGG